rnacentral:tRNA from 1 species
GGUAAAAUGGCUGAGUAAGGCAUUAGACUGUAAAUCUAAACACGAGAUGUAAUCUCUUUUACCA